rnacentral:rRNA from 1 species
GAUGAACGCUGGCGGCGUGCCUAAUACAUGCAAGUAGAACGCUGAAGCUUGGUGCUUGCACCGAGCGGAUGAGUUGCGAACGGGUGAGUAACGCGUAGGUAACCUGCCUCUUAGCGGGGGAUAACUAUUGGAAACGAUAGCUAAUACCGCAUAAAAGUCGACAUUGCAUGAUGUUGACUUGAAAGGUGCAAUUGCAGCACUAAGAGAUGGACCUGCGUUGUAUUAGCUAGUUGGUGAGGUAACGGCUCACCAAGGCGACGAUACAUAGCCGACCUGAGAGGGUGAUCGGCCACACUGGGACUGAGACACGGCCCAGACUCCUACGGGAGGCAGCAGUAGGGAAUCUUCGGCAAUGGGGGCAACCCUGACCGAGCAACGCCGCGUGAGUGAAGAAGGUUUUCGGAUCGUAAAGCUCUGUUGUAAGAGAAGAACGAGUGUGAGAGUGGAAAGUUCACACUGUGACGGUAACUUACCAGAAAGGGACGGCUAACUACGUGCCAGCAGCCGCGGUAAUACGUAGGUCCCGAGCGUUAUCCGGAUUUAUUGGGCGUAAAGCGAGCGCAGGCGGUUAGAUAAGUCUGAAGUUAAAGGCUGUGGCUUAACCAUAGUACGCUUUGGAAACUGUUUAACUUGAGUGCAGAAGGGGAGAGUGGAAUUCCAUGUGUAGCGGUGAAAUGCGUAGAUAUAUGGAGGAACACCGGUGGCGAAAGCGGCUCUCUGGUCUGUAACUGACGCUGAGGCUCGAAAGCGUGGGGAGCAAACAGG